rnacentral:lncRNA from 1 species
AAGGAACUCACACUUAAAGAUGUGGAUUGUAAAUUCUACAAAAUGAAAACUGCUUAUGAAGAGGUUACAACUGAGUUAGAAGAAUAUAAGGAAGCCUUUGCAGCAGCAUUGAAAGCUAACAGUUCCAUGUCAAAAAAAUUAACUAACUGUUGCUGUAUUGGACACUUGCUCCCAUCUACUUUCUUCUCUAGAAUCCACGGGUAAGCCACAUCUAAUGAAGAG